UCCUGUGGUGCAUAAGGACUUCUGUGGAC
rnacentral:piRNA from 1 species